rnacentral:rRNA from 1 species
CCUACGGGAGGCAGCAGUAAGGAAUAUUGGUCAAUGGACGAAAGUCUGAACCAGCCAUGCCGCGUGAAGGAUGAAGGCCCUCUGGGUUGUAAACUUCUUUUAUAGGGGACGAAAAAAGGGAAUUCUUUCCCACUUGACGGUACCCUAGGAAUAAGCACCGGCUAACUCCGUGCCAGCAGCCGCGGUAAUACGGAGGGUGCAAGCGUUAUCCGGAUUUACUGGGUUUAAAGGGUGCGUAGGUGGGCAGUUAAGUCAGUGGUGAAAUCUCCGAGCUUAACUCGGAAACUGCCAUUGAUACUAUCUGUCUUGAAUAUCCUGGAGGUGAGCGGAAUAUGUCAUGUAGCGGUGAAAUGCUUAGAUAUGACAUAGAACACCAAUUGCGAAGGCAGCUCACUACGGGAUUAUUGACACUGAGGCACGAAAGCGUGGGGAUCAAACAGGAUUAGAUACCCUGGUAGUCCACGCCCUAAACCUAUGGAUACUCGACAUCAGCGAUACACUGUUGUGUCUGAGCGAAAGCAUUAAGAUCCCACCUGGAAGUACGAUCGCAGAUUGAAACUCAAAGAGUAGUGCGNGNGAGNGCGACGACGACGACGAGGAGGGAGG